rnacentral:rRNA from 1 species
ACAGCAGUAGCCGCGGGAAUACGUAGGUCCCGAGCGUUGUCCGGAUUUAUUGGGCGUAAAGCGAGCGCAGGCUGUUAGAUAAGUCUGAAGUUAAAGGCUGUGGCUUAACCAUAGUACGCUUUGGAAACUGUUUAACUUGAGUGCAAGAGGGGAGGGUGGAAUUCCAUGUGUAGCGGUGAAAUGCGUAGAUAUAUGGAGGAACACCGGUGGCGAAAGCGGCUCUCUGGCUUGUAACUGACGCUGAGGCUCGAAAGCGUGGGGAGCAAACAGGAUUAGAUACCCCAGUAGUCCCUGUCUCUUAUACA